rnacentral:rRNA from 1 species
AUUGAACGCUGGCGGCAUGCCUAACACAUGCAAGUCGAACGGUAACAGGGGCUUCGGCCCGCUGACGAGUGGCGGACGGGUGAGUAACGCGUAGGAAUCUUCCCAGUAGCGGGGGAUAGCUCGGCGAAAGCCGGAUUAAUACCGCAUACGCCCUACGGGGAAGGGCGAGGGGAGUCGCAAGACCUUGCACUAUUGGAUGAGCCUACGUCUGAUCAGCUAGUUGGUAGGGUAAAGGCCACCAAGGCGACGAUCAGUAGCUGGUCUGAGAGGACGAUCAGCCACACUGGGACUGAGACACGGCCCAGACUCCUACGGGAGGCAGCAGUGGGGAAUAUUGGACAAUGGGCGCAAGCCUGAUCCAGCAAUGCCGCGUGUGUGAAGAAGGCCUGCGGGUUGU